rnacentral:sRNA from 1 species
UUUUUUUUAGAAGGUCUGAGUUCUAAUAUACAUAAUCAUCAAAAUAAAUGACUACACAACUCAAGACUUCAUAUCACUCGAGGAUUUCAGGCACAACAUUAACCCACUCCGUCUUACCACAUAUCUCAUCUGUAUGGCGCUUCUCUAACGCAAUCUUAGAGAACCCAAUUUUAUAUCCUCUAUCGUCUUCAUCAUACCACUGCUUCCCACAUAACUACAAGCAGUGGCGGAUCUAGGGAGGAAAACUAUAUGGGGCACCAUAUUAGUGAAAAAAAUUUAAAGUAAUAAUAAAUAUGGGGAAAAAAUAAACAUGAAAUCAAAUACCAGUGUAAGGGCAUCGAACACAGCUUAUGGGACAUAGAGUAGGGCACUUCUUCCAAAUAAGCUAACCAAU